rnacentral:rRNA from 1 species
AGUGAACGCUGGCGGUAGGCCUAACACAUGCCAGUCGAACGGCAGCACAGUAAGAGCUUGCUCUUACGGGUGGCGAGUGGCGGACGGGUGAGGAAUACAUCGGAAUCUACUUUUUCGUGGGGGAUAACGUAGGGAAACUUACGCUAAUACCGCAUACGACCUACGGGUGAAAGCAGGGGAUCUUCGGACCUUGCGCGAUUGAAUGAGCCGAUGUCGGAUUAGCUAGUUGGCGGGGUAAAGGCCCACCAAGGCGACGAUCCGUAGCUGGUCUGAGAGGAUGAUCGGCCACACUGGAACUGAGACACGGUCCAGACUCCUACGGGAGGCAGCAGUGGGGAAUAUUGGGCAAUGGGCGCAAGCCUGAUCCAGCCAUACCGCGUGGGUGAAGAAGGCCUUCGGGUUGUAAAGCCCUUUUGUUGGGAAAGAAAAGCAGCAGGUUAAUACCCCGCUGUUCUGACGGUACCCAAAGAAUAAGCACCGGCUAACUUCGUG